rnacentral:RNase_P_RNA from 1 species
AGCAGGACCACUUGCUGAGUGCUCCUCACUCCCUGGCCUCUGGGAGGGUCUGAGACUGGGCCCUCCCUGAGUGGGGAGGUGAGUUCCCAGAGAGCAGGGCUCCACACGUGGGCAGACUGGGCAGGAGAGGCCCCGGGUGGGCGGAUGCCUCCCUCACUGGGUCUUGGGACAGAUUCACAGCCAGCCCAGAACAAGUUCAAUGGCUGAGGUGAGGUUGUGUAUGACUUCACUCUUAAGACAUUCU